GCAAGCAUGACUUUCAUCACCAUCUUCAUCUGGACACUGACCUGCUGCUGUUUUAAAGAGUCCAGAGGUCAAGUGACUGUGACUCAGACUCCUGUAGUGAAAUCUGCUCUUCCAGGAAACACAGUCACUAUCAACUAUAAAACCAGCUCUGAAGUGUUCAGUGGUAAUCAGCUGGCCUGGUACCAACAGAAACCUGGAGAGGCUCCUAAACUCCUGAUUAAGUAUGCAAGCACCCGUCAGUCUGGAGUUCCAGCUCGUUUCAGUGGCAGUGGAUCUGGGACUGACUUCACUCUGACCAUCAGUAACAUCCAGACUGAAGAUGCAGGAGAUUAUUACUGUCAGAGUUUCCACUACAUCAGUAGCAAAGAUGUGUUCACACAGUGA